AUGGCAGCCAUACUUGAAUCGUUGCUUGGAUCAUGUGCCAGUAAGUUGCAGAAUAUCAUUACAGAUGAGGCCAUACUAAUCCUCGGGGUGGAAGAAGAGCUCAGAGAAGUCCUGCGACGAGUAGAACUGAUAAAAUGUUGCAUAUAUGAUGCUGAGAAAAGGAGGACAAAAGAGCUAGCAGUAAACAAUUGGCUUGGCCAACUGAGAGAUGUUAUAUAUGAUGUUGAUGAAAUCCUAGAUGUGGCUAGAUGUAAAGGAAGCAAGAUACUUCCUGAUGAUCCUUCUUCAUCAUCAAGCAAAUCAGCUGCAUGUACAGGCUUCUCAGUUUCCUCUUGCUUUUGUAACAUCUGGUCACGUCAUGAUGUUGCUGUUCGGAUUAGAAGCCUCAACAUAAAGAUAGAAAACAUUUCAAAGGACAAGAUAUUCUUAACGUUCAACAAUUGUACACAACCUGCUGGAAAUGGUCCAACAUCCAAACUGAUAAGAAGUUCCAACCUCGUUGAGCCCAACCUUGUGGGAAAGGAGAUCAUACGUUCUAGCAGGAGGUUGGUGGACUUAGUUCAUUCACACAAGGAAAAUAAGUCUUACAAGCUUGCUAUUGUUGGAACCGGGGGAGUUGGUAAGACAACACUAGCUCAAAAGAUAUACAAUGACAACAAAAUAAAAGGAAGCUUUAAGAUACACGCAUGGAUUUGUGUGUCGCAAGAUUACAAUCAAGUUACUCUUCUGAAAGAGGUUCUCCGUAAUAUUGGUGUGCAUCAUCAGCAAGGUGAAACCAUAGCCGAGCUGCAGAGAAAGCUUGCAGAAGCAAUCAAGGACAAGAGUUUCUUUCUUGUUCUAGAUGAUGUGUGGCAGUCAAAUGUUUGGACAGAUUUAAUAAGAAUUCCAGUAAACGAAACAGCUGCUGGAGUAAUAUUGGUAACUACAAGAGAUGAUCAAAUUGCAAUGACAAUAGGUGUGCAGCAUAUCCAUCGAGUUGAUCUCAUGUCAGUAGAGGUGGGAUGGGAGCUACUUUGGAAGAGCAUGAAUAUUGAUGAAGAGAAAGAAGUGCAAAACCUAAGAAACAUCGGGAUUGAGAUUAUUCGUAAAUGUGGCUGCCUCCCUCUUGUAAUCAAGGUUACCGCUAGUGUUUUGGCAAGCAGAGGUCGUACGGAGAAUGAGUGGAAAAGGUUUUUGGGCAGAUAUGCUGGAUCCCAGAGCAUGCUUUCUGAUGAAAUAGAAAGAGCUAUACGUCUAAGCUACGACGAGUUACCGCAUCGUCUGAAGCAGUGUUUCCUUUAUUGUGCUUUGCAUAUUGAAGAUUCUCUCAUUCGGCGUGGAGAAAUUGUCCGGUUAUGGAUUGCUGAAGGGUUCAUCAUGGAGCAGCAAGGCCAAUCACUAGAAGACAUAGCAGAAGGGUACUUCUAUGAGCUAAUCCAUCGAAACCUCCUCCAACCAGAUAACAAAUAUUUUGAUCAGGAGAGAUGUAGAAUGCAUGACCUCCUGAGACAGUUUGCUUUAAAUAUAUCAAGAGAAGAAUGUUUUGUUGGAGACGUUGAAACAUUAAGAGGUGAAAAUAUGUCAAAGCUGCGACGUGUUACGGCUGUCACUAAGAAGGAUAUAUUGGUGUUACCUAGAGUCGAUAAGGUGGAAGUUAAGGUGAGGACUUUUCUAAGUGUUCAUGGUGCACAGAGAAUGGAGGAUGCAUUGUUCAAGAGAUUUCUGCUUCUUCGUGUUCUGGUGCUGAAUUACUCACUUGUACAAAGUGUUCCAGAUUGUAUAGGAAAAUUGAUCCAUCUACGUCUACUUGAUCUGAAUUAUACUGGCAUAUCUUGUCUUCCAGAAUCCAUUGGCUCCCUAAGAAACCUUCAAGUAUUGAGCUUGGAUUAUUGUGGUUCUCUGCAUAGUCUUCCUUCAACAAUGACCCAGUUGUGCAGUUUAAGAUGUCUUUCUCUUGAUGGUACAAAAAUAGAUCAGAUUCCAAAAGGGAUAGCAAAACUGAAGUUCCUCAACACUUUACAAGGAUUCCCUGUAGCUGACGGAAGUGAUAAUGUUAAUGUACAAGAUGGAUGCAAGUUGGAAGACUUGUCUUAUGUGUCGCAGAUGAGGGAUCUUGGCCUUGUUAAAUUGGAAAGAGCAGCUCAUUGUGCUACAAAUGCAGUGCUGACAGACAAAAUGCAUCUAAAAAACCUAAGUCUAAGGUGGACUGAACGUGGAGAUGGGCAAUAUUCAGAAGAAGACAUUAGCAAUGCUGAGCGGGUCUUGGAGCAGCUAGUACCUCCAAUUAACUUGGAACACCUGUGGAUUUUUAAUUUCUUUGGCCAGCGGUAUCCCACCUGGUUUGGUACCACCUGUUUGCCUUCACUGGAGCAUUUGGGCCUCGGGAAUGUAAUAUCCUGUGAGGAUAUUCCAUUGAUUGGGCAGCUACCCAACUUGAAAUAUCUGAGAAUUGAUGGAGCAUAUGCAGUUACCAAGGUUGGACCUGAAUUUGUUGGUUGUAGGAAGGGUGAUCCUUUCAAUGAGUUAGUUUCUUUUCCUAGACUCGAAUGUUUGAUCCUCAAGGAUAUGCCCAACUGGGAGGAGUGGUCUUUUUUUGAGGAUCCGGAAGUGGGUGCCCAUUCUGCAAGGUUGCAACUGCUGCCCCGUUUAGUGCUUUUGAAACUCGAUGGUUGCCCGAAGCUGAGGGCUCUCCCGCGGCAGCUUGGAGAGGUCGCUGCCAGCUUGAAGGAGCUUAGAUUAAUUGGAACAAACAACUUGAAGGCCCUGGAGGACUUCCCACUGCUCUCGGUUCUCCUUAUACAGAAUUGUACGAGCCUGGAGUUGAUUUCCAACCUCCCUCGAGUGACAGACAUGUGUGCACAUGGCUGUCCAAACUUAAGCCAUGUAGAGGGGUUGGGUAGUUUGCAGCAGCUGGGGCUGGGCGUGGAUAUGCAAGAGAUCUCUUCCCACUGGCUGCCUCAGCUUCAAAAACAGAACCAGCGAGUUCAUGGCGAAGACCUGGAUGUCUACACGCUGUCUACCAGUUAG
rnacentral:rRNA from 1 species